AGCAUCCGUAGCCGGUUGCAUAAGUUUUCGGUUAAAUCUAUGCGCUCAACGUAUAGGCCGCCGAAAAUACUGUGCAGCUAGGGAGUGGGAGAGGUACACGGUACUCAGUAGGAAGGGGUAAAAUCCUUUGAUCUAUUGAUGACCACCUGUGGCGAAGGCGGUGUACCAGAACACGUUCGACGGUGAGGGAUGAAAGCUGGGGGAGCAAACCGGAUUAGAUACCCGGGUAGUCCCAGCUGUAAACGAUGCAGACUCGGUGAUGCAUUGGCUUGUGGCCAAUGCAGUGCCGCAGGGAAGCCGUUAAGUCUGCCGCCUGGGAAGUACGUACGCAAGUAUGAAACUUAAAGGAAUUGGCGGGGGAGCACAAGCCGA
rnacentral:rRNA from 2 species